AUGUUGGCCAAAAUAAGCAGCAGAAGUGCACUUCUAUUUCCUCUAACUCAAGAGUGCAGGGGUGAAAAGUCAGGCGAAGGACAGUAUGACAGAUCGAGGGAAGUGAAGCAUGCAGCACCGUCAUACCUGCCUCUCCCGUUGAGUCCCAUACGGAGAGGGAGAGGUAUCUGUGAUCUCCCAUCAUGCAUCAGGACAGCCGGUGUAAGAUUGAUGACACUCUUCGGAAGCAACAGAAGACGGGCCGCCCGUGAGCAGCCGCUUAUGAGACCUGAUAGACUCGUCUCUUAAUAAACAGCACUGAUAUGUCAGCCACGCCGUGUUUCACCCAAAGCAGCGAUGCAGACGAGAGAGAACAAGAAAUUGAGUGAAAGAGAGAGAGAGAAAUAGAGAGGAAAAAAUCCCUGCAGUCUCCCACUGGAGCCGUUUCAGGCACCAUGUUAUGACCAAUGAGCUGCACACCUAUACAUUAGACACAACAUCAAUAAUCAAACUAAAAACAGAGUCAGGGUGUUUAAUAUAGUGCACAACUUAAUGGAAGACAGUUCCUAUCAGAAGGAUGUUGUGUGUGUAGUAUGAUAUAAGUGCAAAACUCAGUGGUGCUCAAUACCUACUGGUUCAAGUCAAAAGAUCUUUUAUCAGGCCAAAUUAAAAACUAACUAAAGCUAAAUAAACUAAAAGUAAAAUAAAACUAAAUAAAAAGUAAAAAUGUAUAAAUACUCUAUAGACAUAAAAAUAGAAAUAAAAUAACACUGAGAAAAAUGACAAAAACUCAAAUUAAAACUACUAAAACUUUAAGUAUAUUAAAGAGAAAACAGAAGAUCUCAUUUAAAUAUUAAAAACUAUAUACAGACUUGGUUCUAUGCAUCAGCUGUUGAUUGGAUGUUGAGAUGUGGGCGUAGCACUCAAAAAUGGAGUUAAAGAUUUUAAGGUUAAAACAUUUAGAAAACAUGAAACCUUUGCAAGGAUCAGCUGUUCACAAUAAACUUUAUAAAAUGCAUUUAGAAAAUAGAUAAUUUAAUAAUUAAGCUUAAUUCAAAUCUCUGUCAGUAUAAAAAUAGUAAGAGCACAGAAGGCUACACCAAGAUGGUUUACUCAUAUUAGUAUGAACUGGAGAAAAUGCAACGCACAAUCACAACAGAAAAAGCCCAAGCAUUUAAAAUAAAAGAGCCAAUUGAUAAAGUUGGUGUGUGACUCUCUGGUUCCCAAAGAGAAAGUGCUGAGGCUUGGGACUUUACAUGCACAUAGACUGCUGAACUAAUUUGAAAUAUACGCUUUAUAAGGUAUUUGAACAUAAGAAACAAAUUUAAGGGACAAUUCAAAUUUUAUUGCAGAUUUACAAGUACAUUUAUUAAUUUAGCAGAUGCUUUUAUCCAAAUUAAAUGAUAUUUAAUUGGUAGUCUGUAAAGCAGUUUUCAAGAUUUCAGUAUUUCUGCAUUCAAGUACACACAAGUUGGUCUUGCAUGCCCAAAAUAACUGUGCCGAGGCGUUGAAUAUAUGGCUGUCGAGUGAACAGACUUUCCUCAGAAGGGACUUUGGUGAGAGCGAUGCUUAAAACACCAAUCUUCAGUAUUUCAAAGUAUUUCGCCUUUAAAGAUACGGUAUAAAAUAUAGAUUAGAUGAAAAUACUCCCAACCCAAUCAGUUUCAAUAGGAAAUACGUCAACAUGGUAUAAAAAAUACAUUCGCUGAAACAAUUUCAUGGGAUCAGGCUGAAAUUAUCAGGGGACCUUGUUAAAGAUAAAUGUCAGCUGCUUGUUUCUAACCCUUUAGUUAAAAAAAGCUUUACUUCCUGUGCUGCUG
ensembl:lncRNA